AGAGUUUGAUCCUGGCUCAGGAUGAACGUUGGCGGUGUGCCUAAUACAUGCAAGUCGAACGGUGACGAUUUUGUAGCAAUACGAAUGAAAUCAUAGUGGCGAACGGGUGAGUAACGCGUUGGUGAUCUGCCUCGAAGUGUGGAAUAACUUCCCGAAAGGGUAGCUAAUACCGCAUAGUCUCUCAAGGUUUAGAAAAUUGAGAGUAAAGGAUUUAUUCGCUUCGAGAGGAGCCUGCGUCCCAUCAGCUAGUUGGUAGGGUAAUAGCCUACCAAGGCAAUGACGGGUAGGGGACCUGAGAGGGUGGCCCCCCACAAUGGAACUGAAACACGGUCCAUACACCUACGGGUGGCAGCAGUAGGGAAUAUUAGAAAUGGGCGAAAGCCUGAUCUAGCAACACCGCGUGUGCGAUGAAGGCCUUCGGGUUGUAAAGCACUUUUUGGAGGGAAUAGGAAGGAAGGUACCUCCAGAAUAAGUCUCGGCUAACUACGUGCCAGCAGCCGCGGUAACACGUAGGAGGCAAACGUUAUCCGGAUUCACUGGGCGUAAAGCGCGUGUAGGUGGUUCUGUAAGUAGGGCGUGAAAGCUCCCGGCUCAACUGGGAGAGGCCGUACUAAACUGCAGAGCUAGAGGAUGGUAGAGGGAGGUGGAAUUCCAGGUGUAGUGGUGAAAUGCGCAGAUAUCUGGAGGAACACCAGUGGCGAAGGCGGCCUCCUGGACCAUUCCUGACACUCAGACGCGAAAGCUAGGGUAGCAAACGGAAUGAGAGACUCCGGUAGUCCUAGCCCUAAACGAUGCAGCCUAGGGCGUCGGCGGUUUAAUCACCGUCGGGUGUCCAAGCUAACACGAUAAGUUUUCCGCCCGAGGAUUACGGCCGCAAGGCUAAAAAUCAAAGGAAUAGACGGGUCCCCGCACAAGCAGCGGAGCGUGUGGUUUAAUUCGAUGCUCCGCGAAGAACCUUACCUGGGUUUGACAUAACAGUGGUAGAGAAGAGAAAACGGAUCGACCCUUCGGGGAGCUGUUACAGGUGUUGCAUGCCUGUCGUCAGCUCGUGUCGUGAGAUGUUCGGUUAAGUCCGCUAACGAGCGCAACCCGCGCUGUGUGUUACAAGUGUCACACAGUACCGCCGGUAUUAAGUCGGAGGAAGGUGCGGAUGACGUCAAGUCAGCAUGACCUUUAUAUCCAGGGCUACACACACGCUACAAUGGUCAGAACAAUAGGUUGCCAAGCCGCAAGGCGGAGCCAAUCCUCCAAAUCUGGCCUCAGUUCAGAUUGCAGGCUGCAACUCGCCUGCAUGAAGUCGGAGUUGCUAGUAACCGCAGGUCAGCAUACUGCGGUGAAUAAGUUCCCGGGGAUUGUACUCACCGCCCGUCAAG
rnacentral:rRNA from 1 species